rnacentral:lncRNA from 1 species
AUCGAAGAGACUCAAAAUCAAUAAUUUUAAUGGCCGUGGUGAGCCGUUGCAAGUUUAACAACGUAAAAAAUAUCCAAAUCACGUAAAAUUUUGAUAGAAAAUUCUUUAUACUAUAUAAAAACAAUAUCAAUAUCUUUGAUCUAAAAUUUUAAUAUCAUAUUAUCACGUUUUGUAAGAUUUUUAUUUUCAACGUUGAUUUUGAGGCCUUAGUUCACUAGGCAAAUGAUAUCGAAAAAUUACAAAAUUU